rnacentral:rRNA from 1 species
UGGUGGAGUGAUUUGUCUGGUUAAUUCCGUUAACGAACGAGACCUCAGCCUGCUAAAUAGUCGAGUGAAUGAAUUUUAUUCAUUCAUGUAAAAUACCUAGUCGACUUCUUAGAGGGACUGUCUGUACCUAGCAGAAGGAAGUGUGAGGCAAUAACA